GUUGUGGACGAACCAGCAGACAACCUUCGUGCCGAUGCUGGCAUCCUUUCUGUAGUCUUUCUGGGAGCCCCUGGGGAAAGAAGAGAGAUGCUGCAAUACACGGGGCCUGAACAGCCUGCAGUCUGAACACUUCGUACCCAGCAGCCCAUGCGUCUGUGCUGACAUCCGGUGACUGUCCACCACGUAGAAGCCUAGAAAGUCACGGUGGGCAGGAUGUUUCUUCCACACCUGGUGUAGGACGACCACGAAGGUAACCCCAUCUCCAAAGGAGACCACCAUGUUCUUCCUGUUGAUCAUCAUGGACAGCCUACGAGAUGAAGCCAGAAAGUGGCUGUGGGGCCCAGUGGCCGUGACACUGGGCAUCUGACUCAAGGGCGUCUUGGUGGGGCCUCCCCUGUACAUGGCACCCGAGGGCCCACAGACUCCAGAAACUAUCUCAGGGGCGUUGGAAAGAGGAUGCCUCAUGCACACUGUCUCCCCUCCCGUGAGUGGAUCCUUGCGUGUCUAUAAGUGGGAAAGAGAGGGCUGGCCUAUGAAUCUGGAGGCCUGUGGUCCAGCCCCAGCUAAGCCACUGACUUCCUGAGUGAUACUGGGCAGGCUCCACACCUUCUCUGAGCCUUAGUGGGAGGCUCUGGGGGAUCUGAAGACAGGAGAGCUAAGAAGACAAGAGCAGCCACAGAAGAGGCAAAUGGGGGCCAUUAUCACCUAAUGCCUUCACCCAACCAGCUGAACUGUGCAGCUACCAAUUCUGGCUCUGACAGGGCCCCAGGGUUUGGUUGGGGGCCACUAUGGUCACCCUCCCCUGUGACAGGAGACUGGAUUCUGGGGUCUCUGAUCUUUCCUGUGACCCCCAUGGAUCUCCUGUCCUGGGAUUUUUCUAAAUCCCUCAAGAGCCUCCUUAGACUCUCAGCCUGUAGUCCACCUUGGAGACCUUGUAGGGGAGCUUACCCAUCCUGCGUGACUGUGACUGCUUACCCAUCCUGCGUGACUGUGACUGUGUCCAGCCAGCUGAAAGUGCUCGGCACGGCCCUGUUCCACAGGGUGAUCUUCCCCGUUGUCACCUCCACCUGGAAGUCCAUCUGAGCAUUGGCAAUGCCCAGUUUUCCAAAGUAAGUCUUUCUGGUCUUGGAGUCAGGGCUGCCUCUCUUGUCGCCAAUGAUCUGCCCAUUAACUGUGAGGCCUGCCAGAGGGAUGGGGCAGGGAGAGAGACCAGCGAGAACUUCUGAGUCCAGAUUGCCUUUAGGGGUGUGCCUUCCUCUUCAACCAGACUGGCUGAGGGGCAGCAGAGCGGGGGCCACAAGAGAGACCAGGACUUCAGAGCCCAAGCCUGUUGGUUCCUAGACACUCUAGGUUUGGGUCAUGCUGGGACCUUAUGGGUCUGCCACUUGCCUGGGCCAGGGAGUGUUGUUCAGAGAAAAGCUAUUCCCCAGACACAGGCUGGGUCCUACCCUAGGCCCAGGUGGUCCAUUCACGCUAAUCAUCUCCCAAUAGCACUGGCAUGUGGGGCUGAGCAAGCCUGUGGCCCUGGGCACUCCCCACCCCCAGGGGUUUCUUUGCAUGUGAAGAUGAUGCCUUACUGGGCAGAGUGAGAACCUGGUCCCUGUGCCUACCUCGGGGGACCCAAGCCCUCCCAGGAAGAGCCCCCUGGCCCCGGCCCUAGCCCACAAGCCUCACCUGUGACUGGAUCCUGAAUAAGGCGCAGCACUGUGCCUGGGGCUUCAUCGAUGUUGAAGCAGAGGGCAUCGUCUUUCUCCGGAAUUUGGAUGAUAAAGUGGGGAUCCCCGUCCACUGGUGAGACACAUUAGAGAAGGAGCUGACUCCCAGGGCCUCUCAUCAUACCUGGGGCCUCCCCCAGCCUUCUGGCCUCCAUGGGCUCGACUCCGAGACAGGCAGGAGCACGUGCCCAGGCCCCUGAGCCUUCCCCAGGAGCAGCCAGGGACUCACCAUAGUAGUAGGGGUUUUGAGGAGGCUGGUAGCUGGCUGCAGAUACAAAGGGAGAGAGGGCUGAGCUAAGCAAGUGGCGCUGGGAGGCGCCCGACGACCCCCAUAGGAGUUCAGCUUAUGCCCCUCCCCUUCCCGCUCGCUAAUGCCAUUGCCCUCCCACCCCGCAAUCUCCUCAGGGCACAUUGUCCAUCUGCCCAUCCCGGAGAGCUGAGUGAGUAGCCACCGUGGAGGGACAUGUGGCAGGGGCAGGCUCUAAGCAGUGGGAGGAGUGGCAGCUGCCAGCAUGUACUCACUCAGGUAGGACAUGGCAGGGCUCACCGGUGUGGCUGAAAAGCCGAAGGGCAGUGGUGAGCAGGGUCUAGGGGUUCCUUCUCCCCCAGCCCCGUGCCUUCCUCCUGUCUUAGUGCUGCUGGGCCCCAGAGGGGCCCCAACACUGGCAGAUAGAGGUGGAGAUGUGACUCCAAAGAUUAGGCUUUGGAAAUCGGGCACGUCCAGGAAAGCCCUUUAUGGGGCUGGUGGCAAUGGGAUGUGAUUUUAACGUUGGCGCAGGGCUUUUUGAUGUGGCUGAAAUGCAAGCCAUUAAGUCAUCUUCUCUCUCUUGAGUAAUGCUCACAGCAAACAUCUGCCCCACCCUUGGGCUUCCCACCCCCUAGUUGGGGUGAGUGAGGCUCACGGCUGUCUGUUGAUUCUUGAUAGUAAACACCCACCCACACGUGCACGCAGGCGCACACAUAUGCGUGCACAUGCAUAUAUGUACUCACAUGCACCGGUACAUUUAUCAGGGCUGUUCUGAGGGGAACGUGAUGGCCCAGUCCAAAUGUGCCAGUCCAAAUGGAGGUGGGGCAGGCCAGUAGGGGCUGGGGAGGCCCUGCCUAGUGGCAGGGAGUUUGUGAGGUUCCAGUUUUGUGGUGAGAGAGGCACAGAGGACUGUGAUCCCCAGCAAUUCCCAGCAUGGGCAUUGGGGCCAGACUGCCUUGGCCUAAGUACCAGCUUGGCCAUCUGCUGAGUCUGUGAGCAAACAGACUGAGCAAAUUAACCCCCCGUGCCUCAAUUUCCCCAUUGUAAAAUGGGGAUCAUAAAAGGGCCCUCUUGGAGGGUUGCUAUGGGACUAAUGAAGUAUAAAUGACUGACAUGCUAAAUUGCUCAUUUUUGCAGGUCAUAGAUACUGUCAUACUGAUUGUGUCUCCCUGGGCAAGGGAAGCCACCCCCAAUUAACUUACAGGGAUCCUCAGGCUCAGAGAGGGGCACGUUCAUGAUUUGGCAAUAGGGCUGGGCCUGAGCCCAGGUGUCCCAAGUGUGCCCCCAUGGCUGGGGGUCCUAUCUUGCUUGGAAAGGCCUCCUCAGUUCUCUCUUGUCUCCCUUCCAUAAUGCCCAACCCGGUGGCUGGCUAAAGGCUUACCUUCUGCAUCUGCAGGUGCAGCAAGGGAGGAAGAAGAGAAAUGCAUUAGAAGCCAUAGGGCACUUGUGAGCAGGGACCAGAGCUGGCUGCUUGGCCAACCAGCCCUAGGCUGUGGGCCUCCCAGCAGCCAGCUCUUCCCCCACUGGGUGUCCCCUGGAACUAGGAGUUCUUGGAAGCCAGAGGCCUGGCCUGGCCAGGCCCAGCUCUUUGCCUCCCAUGUCUCCCAAUGCCAAUCCUCCACCACCACACACAGACCCUGUACCUAGUUGCAGUGGGCAUUGGGGACCCCCUGUUGAGUAGGGCAGUCUGGGGUCUGGUUGAGGGGGUCCCAGCCUCCAGCUCUCAGGGACUCUUCCCCUAACAAUCUCCAGGUGCCUGAUAGCCUGCUCCAGGCCUUUCAUGUUGGAAGUGCUUCUUCUUGUCUCACUAAGCCCUUCCAUGCUGCAGCCUCAGUCCUUUUCCUUGAAAUGCCCCAUGGGCAGUGUGCCCCCUUUACUCACUUCCCUUUAGAGGUGCAGAGGCUCCUAUUCACCCCACACCCCACUGUCCAUGCUGACUGCUUCACGCUCCACCCCACUUUCCCCAUCCCGUGGCCAGUUUUCCUUCAGAUGCCCACUUCAGCAGGUCUGGGUCUCCCCAGCCUGGCCCACUCCUCCACUGGACACCCAGGGAGGGUGCCCAGCACAGGAGGCCUCCGGGUUGUGGCCUCCAUCCCUAUCCCCACCUUCCCCAGGCUUGUCGGCAAUGGCCCUCUCAUCCUCGUUGUCCUCAGGCUUGGUCACCACCAUUGAGGUCAGUGGAGUCACAAAGUGAUACUUGAGGGACAGGUCCAGGGCCCAGGCCGUGAGGUUCUCCUUCUCCUCGCCAUGGGCGUUCUUGCUGUGAGGAGGGGCCAGUCAGGAGGACAGCCUGGAGAGCAGCACCCUGCCCGCUUCCCCUGCACUGGAGUGGUGGGCGCAGCUGGGGAUCCCCACUCCACCUUCCCCAUUGUGGGGUCCCCCAGGGUACAGCCCAGUUGGGCUCAGAGAAGACUGGCUCACAACUCCCUGGGGCAUGUGAACAAGCCCUGUUUCCUUGCUGGACCUUGGUUUCCCCACCUAUAAAACGUAAGGACCGGCCGGGCAUGGUGGCUCACGCCUGUAAUCCCAGCACUUUGGGAGGCCAAGGCGGGUGAAUCACCUCAGGUCAGGAGUUCGAGAUCAGCCUGGCCAACAUGGUGAAACCCCGUCUCUACUAAAAAUACAAAAAUUAGCCAGGCAUGGUGGUGCAUGCCUGUAAUUCCAGCUACUUGGGAGGCUGAGGCAGGAGAAUUGCUUCAACCCAGGAGGCGGAGGUUGCGAUGAACCGAGAUCGCACCAUUGCACUCCAGCCUGGGCGACAGAGGGAGACCCCCUCUCAAAAAAUAAAUAAAUAAAUAAAUAAAUAAAAUAAGGGGCUACAACAGCCACUCACAAUGGUGUCCAUGUGCGGAGCACUCAGCAUGUGCUAGAUUGUGUACUAACAGCUUCACAGUCUAAUCCCACCCACACCAACACUGACCCUCUCAGUGGGCUCAGCUCUGCCCUCUGGGCACUGAGGGCUGGGAUCCCGGCCUUCAGUUCCACUCAGCCUCACCACCCCUGGGCCAUGCCCAGUGUGGGCAGCAGGGUGCUGAAGUCCCCCCUACCCCGGGGCACUCCCAGGCUGCUGGCCAGGGGACUUGCCAGCUUGAGCCUUGGGGCUGACAGGAUGGGGAGUGGUGGCCUGGGGUUCCUUACAGACUGCUCUACAGACACUUCCUGGGCUGGCCCAAGAAGAGGGCAGGACCGCUGGGACUGCGUAUGGGGGUGCCCUUGCAUUGGAGCCCAGCCAGGGGUAGGCACAGGUGGGGGCUGGGACUCUGCUCACCGCUUCUCCAGCAGCUGCUCAAUGGUGAGGUAGGCCCAGAGCCGCUCAAUGUAAUUCCCGAAGAUGUAGUCCCGCUCCUGCAGGGCCUUCUCCAUCUCCUUCAUGUCCACCUCCUCUGUGAAGGUCAGGUCGUUGGUGGCCUAGGGUGGGGGUAGAAGGAGGCAAGGGGCUGGAGGCUUGGGUGGAUCAGGUUCAGGGGCCACCACUCCUGGACCCUCAUGAGGCCAGAGCCCUACCACUGCUGAUACCCCAUCCCCAGCACACUUCCAGGCCCUGUCCCCACUCACCCCAUGGCCCUUCACAUCUGCCUUAAAGCUGUUCAUGUCCUCGUCCACCAGGCGCCCGGCCACCACGAUCUCAGAGCCAUCGUAGAAGUGCUGGUAAGUGUUCUGGGUGAGGUCCAGGAUAGCGUUCUCGGGGUACUCCAUCUCCACACCCGUCAGCAGUGGGUUGGCCACCUCCUCAUAGAAGCCCUGAAGUUCGGACGGGGCCAGUCAUCUCAAGCCCCAGGUCAGGCUCCCACUGAUGCUGCAGCUGGGCAUCCAUGCCCCAGGGCUGGGCCCGUCCUAAUGGCUCCUAAUGUUCACUCUGCCUGUCCCUGACUGCGUCCUUCAGUCUGUGGGGGCCUCCCCCCGGCAACUCCCUGCUCCCAGAUAGACACGAGGAAGACUAGAAAGGACAGUUUCAGAAGUAUUUCCUAUUAAAAAAAAAGAAAUAUGAGGACAGAGUUCUUAGCACAAAGAAAGUAUUUAAGGAAUGUCUGUUGGAAUGAAAGCAAGAAGGAGAAAAGGAAGUAAAGAGAGGCAGAUGAUAAAGUGACAGGAGUGCAGAGAUCCGGAGACAGAGGAGGGAAGGAAUGGGGUGGUCGCCCUGCAGAGGUGGAGAUGCCAUUACCUGCCUAGAGAAGGAACAAAAUUGCUAGAUUCAGCAAAUGCAAAGACAGGACGUGCAGCUACAUUGAAGGUCAAAUAAACAAUGAAUAAUUUUUUAGUGUAGGUAUGUCUGUUAUGGGUUGAAUAGUGUACUCCUAAAGUGCAACCUUAUUUGGUGAUAGGGUCUACAAAAUAAGGUCAUGAGUAUGGGCCCUAAUCCAAUAUGAUUGAUGUCCUUAUUAAAAGGGGAGUUGGACACAGACAUCCAGAGGGAAGACAUGUGCAGACACAGGGAGAAGACAGCCAUUGAUAAGCCAUGGAGAAAAGGAAAGAGGCCUAGAAAGAUCUGCCCUCAUAGCCCUCAGAAGGAACCAACCCACCGCCACAUGGAUCUGGGAUGUCCGGGCUCUGGAACUGGGAGACAAUACGUUUCUCUCAUUGAAGCCACUUGGUACUUUGGUAUGGCAGCCACAGUACACUAAUACAAUGUCCUGUGCAAUAUUUGGGGCAUACUUACACUACAAAAAUUCAUUAUUUAUCAGAAAUUCAUAUUGAACCAGAUGUCCUGUGUUUGCUCUGAUAAUCCUAUUGAAGAAACGGGCCUGUUGUGUAGCCCAAGGACAAAAUCAGAAUCUUUAUUGAUGGGUAAGAGAUAGUCAGAGGUGGAUUUUGACCCAAGACGAAGCUCUUCCUAAUAACUAGAACUGUCACCUUAUGGAGCAGCUGUCUGAGGAAGUAGUGAGCUCCUUAUGCCCGGAAGUGUGCAAGACAAGGCAUACCUGCAACUGCAAAUCGGCAUCAGAGUCCUCAUAAAUGCGCCGGGCAAACCCAUGGUUCUCCAGGGCCAUGUUCUCCAGGAAGUUAUAAUUCAGAUUGUUGCCAAAGCCCAGGUUAUACAAGGGGAACUUGCCCCCGAUGGCAUUCCGCACAUUCUCUUGGAUUUUUUCGGGUCUGCUCUCACCUGUUGGAGAAGGGGGUGUUCACAGUCCAGCCCCAGCCCUGGGGAUGGUCUAGACCAGCUCUGUCUGGGGAGACCGGACUCCUGCACAUGCAGAGUUGCUGGAGUCACGACCAUGAGCCCUUGUGGGGCAGGUGGUGGAGAGCCCUGGCAGAGGGAGGCAGGACCCUGCCCUUGAGGGGCUCCCAGACCACAGGGAACCCAGGGAAGAGCUGCCCCAGGUUUUCCAACGAGCCAGCUACAGAGCCAGGAGCAGCAGCCAAGCACUCCAGCCCUAGCUCAAAACCAUGCCCGUGCUCCUCACCAACAUUGGCAUCCCCAUCAGUCAGCAUGAUGACAAUGGAGGUGCUCCUCUCUGGGAUUCUGUGCUCCUCUCGGGCCUUGUUCAGCAUACUGAUGCCCCUCAGCAGCCCGUCAUUGAUGUUGGUCACUGGGACACAGACAGACAGCACCGUGGGAGGGUGUCCUCAGGGUGCCAGUGUGCAGACAGGCUGGAGCGGAGGAGGCCGGGACAGCCGGCCCCACUCAUGUGCCCAAGGACCCUAUCUGCCAGCCCAUGGUGGUACUCAGCAAACAAUGAAUGAACCACCACAUGAACAAACAAACAAACAACUUCCACUUUCAAAUGGGGAUGAAAGGCACAUGGUGAAGACGAAAAGCACAUGGUGAUUGUGAAAGCCCUUUGGCAGAGUUGGAUGGACUCCCAGUAACUCUUGCUGGGAGGAGAGGGGAGCGGUGUAGGCAUCGUGCCAUUUUCCAUAUGAAACAGGGCCAAGAAGAAGGGUUCUCUGUGGCCUUAUCUUGCUGGGACUUGUGGGAUACCAGGAUCAUGGAUUAGAAACAGAAAGAAUGGGUUUCCCUGGACCACGGAGAAGACAGCCGAUAUUCUGUCUUCAAGCCUGAGGACCAUCCACUCCCACCUCUACCCCAGCUCAGAUCUGAAGGGCCUGAGACCAGCAGAGUCCCUAAGAGGGGGGUUGCAGGCUGCUCAGGGACAGAGGGAGGCGCCGCUAGGAGGUGUGUGGGCUCCAGCUCCGCUCUUACUUCCUUUAUCCUCCAUGCUCUUCACAAACGUCCUGGCCUCCUGGAGGUUCUCGGGCGUGGCCUGGACUAAGUGUUCUUUCCAUGUGGACACAUCUCCACUGAACAGGAUGAAAUUCAGAUAGUCUUCCUCUUUCAUAUCUUCCAGGAUUCUGAGAAGGGCCUCCUUUGUCUGGAGGAGAGAGAGACAAAGAGCUGGGAGAAGCCGCAGCAGAGAGUGAGGUCCCUUCUCAGCUCAGCAGGCGGUGCAGCCCACGCCAUCUGCACCAACGAGCCCUGCCUGAGGCUUGCCACAGAAGCGGGCAGAGGCCGUGAGCCUUCUCUUAUCCUGUCCCCUUUCUCCUCAUUCACCACAAAGAUCAGCUUUUUCCAGUUAAAAAAAAAAUCUCCUCCACCCCCUACUCCCCCGAGCCCUGGCUGUGCCACUGGUGCUGAUUACCUGCUCUAAUUUCCGACCAGCCAUGGAGCCACUGAUGUCAAUCACAAAGGCCACGUUCUUAGGCACCACUGGAAGGCCUUGAGGUGCAAAGAAGUGCACGAAGUAGCCAUUGACUAUCUGGAAAGUGGGGAGAGGGACGGAGGCCGGUGUCCUUUUAGCAACACCACAUUGACUAUUCUUGCAGGUAGAAGCCAGACAUUUACCAGCCCAAGAAAAAGACGUUCCUAUCCCACCCUCUAGGGGGUGCUGCACCAGGCUCUAGGCCAUCAGCUGUCCCACAUCCUGUAGGAAAACAGCCUUGGGCUGAGGACCCAGGGUGAUGGCACUAGAUGCAGCUGCAGCCCCCACCCCCACCAGCCCUCGCCCCACCCUGAUGAUGAAUCAGCCAGCCCGGGUACCUGCACGUUGCCAGGAGAUUCUCUGUUCACGUCAUAGGUGAUAGUGAAAUCUCCAUUGAGGAGGGAGUCUGUACAGGUUGGGCAUGAACGCUGUUGGUCUAAGCUGGGCUUGAAGGACACAUGGCCCUAAGGGACGGAGAUGAAAGACCUUGCUCAGCUCGGCCAGGGCCUGCCCACUGGGAGACCUCAGCCCUUAGCUGAGGGAGCAGAGGUGCAGCCUCACAGGGAGGAGCCCUUAGCAGGGCAGAGGCUAGCAAGAGCUGGAGGCCUGGGCAGCCCUGCCCGCCGGUGGCGUGCUCUGCAGCUCCCAGGACUCACUGGAAGGCACUGUUUACCACGCUCCGGCCUUUCUGAGCACCGCUUUUCCCCUUGGAGAUCAGGGCUCCUGGCUGGGCACAGGCCUUGGCUGAUUCAGCUUCCAGCUCCCUUUUUCUUGGCCUCACACACCCAUUAGCCCAGGCUACCUUGGAGCUCAGCACUGAGAAGCUACUUAGGGAAGGGGUAGCUUCCCAUUAAAAGGAAUUUCUUGUAGGUUUGGAAUGUUGGUGUGUGGGUGCCAAGAGGAGGGGAGGGAGAAAGGAGGAGAAAGGGGAGGAGGAGGGUCCCGGGGCAGGAUGUGGCCCUGCAGAAGCCAGCAGUCCUCUGAGUGUGUGCUCCUCGGGCCUCGCCCUGGAAGUCCUGGAUGACUGGUUUGUUGUUUAUACAAACAUUUAUUCACCCACUGUCCACUGCCAUUAAGGCCCCUGGAACAGCUGGGAGCCUUGGGGACUGGAGUCAACCACCUAGCACCAAGAAUGAAGUUCUCUUUAGUCUUUCACCCCUCAUUGUGGAGUCAGUAGAUCUAAAUGACUCCCUCGGGCCUCAGCCUUGGGACCUGUAAAACAGGGAAGAUAAGCCCUGCCCUGUCCAUUUCCCAAGGGGGAACGGGACCAGGCUUUGUAAAUGGCUCCUCUGGCAGGUCAUUGUCAGCAGCCCCUGCCCUCAGCAUCCUCACUCCCAACCCCAGUGGGCAAGGAGGAAGGUGAUAGUUGCAGAUUGAUCCCCAGCCCCACCCCAACACAUGCAUGCUUGCAGCAGCUAAGCCCUAGGCUGCAGGCUUGUUCUGCUGGAGUCAGUAUUCCUGUCCCCUGCCCCACCAGGUCUGAGAGGCAUCUACAUCACCUUUUUCCCUGAGAAGGACUUGGUGAGGGUGCUUCCCAGGAGGUCGUUGGUGAUGAAAGAGGCCUCAGCAUCCAGCAUGCUGAUUCCCUGAGGCUCGAAGAUGUCUACCUCGAUCUGAAAUGGCCAAAGUAAGGAAAUGUCACUCAGUGACCUCAGAGGCCAGUUCCCAGAACAAGGCCAAUGGGAAUGAGAUGGGUCUGUGAUGAUGCAGGGACCCUCUAGGACAGUGCUGAGGGCCAAGCCUGGUGUCUCCCACUGCGAAAGUGACCACAGGGGCUUGGAGGAGAGUAUGCUGAUCCUGAGGUGUUACCACCGCCUGCCAUAUGUGCCCGAAAUUCCACCACUGAUGCUUUUCCUUUGGCUUUCAGCUUUGAGGUAGGAAAAAUGCCCAUGUGCCCAGUGAGAAGCCUUAAAGAGGCACUUGCUGGUGUUGCUCUUGAGGGCCCAGCACCGAAUCUGCAUCUGUGGAGUCCAUCCCAGCCUCUUCCCCUUGGCCCCAGAUGCUGUGGCCAGAACCAUUGAAUUCCUCCAGCCUUCCCAGCCAAGGAUGGGGGAUGCCGUGAGGCAGAACUUUUGUUUUUGACCCCUGUCUGAGACUGCCCCAUGGGCGGGUUCCUGCACCCCGCUGCCGUCCCCCCAGGUCUGCAGGGGCGGUUGAUUACCUCAAAGUGUUUGACCAGUUGCUUAGGCUGGACCUUGAGGUACAUCUCGUACUUGCCCUUGUGCCUCUUCAGCAGCUCCUCGUAGGUUAGCUCGAAGGUGACUUUGCUGCCCGCAGCCACGGUGACCGAGACUGUGAACUUCUCCAACUUCCUCCCAGAGGCCCUGACCAGGGUGCGAGAUGGUGACUGCCUCAAAGACUGCAGGAGCCCACCCUUCCUCGGCCCUCGGCCCCAGGCCCAGCCCUUUGGCGAGGGAGAUCCCUAACCAUUCUGAGCCUCACUUGCCUCAGCCUCAACGUGGGAUAAUGGCAAAAUUAUGGGCACAUUUUGCUAUACCAAUAAUAAUAGCUGUUGUUGUUGUUUGUAGCCCUGAAGGCCCUUGGAUCCCAGACAUUCUCCCCAAGGCCUGGGAGUCCAUACUUACUUGACCAAGCCGGCCGUCUUGCCCUGGGACACAGCCUUUUCAUACUGCUUCUUGGCAACUUCCUUCUCCUUGACAUUCCCAGGGUAGGUAACACCGUCGAUGGUCCUGCAGGGAAAGAGAGUUGGGGGUAGGGAGAUCACACUGGGCCAGACCCCCUGUUCCCGAGCACAGAGCCAGCAGCCAUGGUGGUACCCACAAGGUGAAGUUGGUGAUGAAGGCCGUCUUGGGCAGCUCCACAUCAAAGGAAACCUCCUUGGCCGUGUCUGCACGGUUGAUGGCUCUCGUGGUGACAACAUUGUGAGCAAAACGGGAGGUCACCUUGGAGUUGAUUUUGGUACUGUAGACCUCGAUGCCAUUGGCCACCUUUGGGGAGGUGGGUGGAGAAUCAGCCAGACUGGGACACUGGAGAAGCAGGUUUGCAACCCAGCCACCUCCCUUGCAAACCCUUGGAGGCUCUGAGGCCCCUGCCCGGCACGCAACCCUCAUCCUCCAGGUCUUCUACAUUGGAAGACUUGGUGGCGUCUCCAGUCUCCAUGUUCUGGUGGCCACCAUUAUUCAGAUGCUUGUCCUGCCUCCUUAAUUCUGCGAUCCGUUUACACACCACUGCAGCCAGUGAGAGCUUGCCCUUUCCCGUCCAGUCACCCUGAGCUCCAGCCAUACGUGGGACACUGGCUCUGGAGCAUCUGCCCCUGGCUCUUCCUGCUCAUCCUCCACACCUCACACUCCCUCAAGCACACAGCCCAACCCACCUCCUGGGUCUUUAGGUAAUUGCCUCAUUCUGUCUCCCAAAGAGGAACUGAUUUCCUGUGCCAAGGGAAGUCUCCAAACACCCUCUUUCCAAUAGGGGUGUUGAAUUUUGAGAGGCUCUAGGGAGGUGUUCCAGCCCCCUCCCCCUAGGGAUAUAAAGAUGCUUCAUGAGGGUGUGGCAGGGACCGCUUCACAGAGCCAGGUACCAGCAAGUGCUAAGGAAGUGUCUGCGGAAGGAAGGGAUGCCUGUGAGGGGCCCUCUUGGGCUACAUCGUGCGAGGUUGGAGGGGUCGUCACUCUGUGGUGCUCUUUCCCAGGAGUCCUGCGCUGUUGGAGGCUGCCAGGGCAGAGGGCCAUAAGCUGUUUGCCAGCUGUGAGGAGUCAGCUGUUAUAGCCUACACCUUCAGCAGUUGGGGAACCAGCUCCAUCCUGCCCUGCCCCACUCGGUCCCACCCCCUGGUGAAAGUUCUUACCCCUUCCGGGAGGCUCCGUUUCUGAAAAAACAAAAACAAACACAAACACAGGAAUCAGGCCAAGGCCAACACCAAGGCCGCAUGGCCUGGGAGGCUCUGGGCUGAGACCAGGUGUUCAGUGGUGCCCUGCCCCCCACACACCUGAGCGGCCCCCAGACAUAGGACCCUCCAGAGCCACAUGUCAGAGUAGGAAAAACUCUGAAUAGAUGGGGAAACUGAGGUCCAGAGAGGGGCAGGUAUCCAGGUUACCAGGAGAGCAGGGCAGGGGGAACUGAACCCAGAGCUCUCUUCACACCCUACAUGCCCCACCUCAUUCUAUCUCCCAUUCUGCCUUUCCCUGGCCCCCAGGCCCCUUUAGGCCUCCUUCCAGAGCACCCCUGCCCCCGCCACACCCCACAGGGCUCAACUGAGCAUUUUGUAGAGGUCACACUCGUUUGAGACUUGAACCUUCAUUGCCCCUCAGUGAAGUGAGCAGUUCAUGGUGCAUUGCUCUUUUGACAGGUGGGGAAGCUGAGGCCCAGGGAGUUUUAAGAGCCUUCCCAGGGUUAGACAACAGGUUAGCAUAGGCCUCAGCUGGAGCCCAGUUCUCCCAGUGUCCACACUACUCCCAGCAGCUCAGUGCCCAGCCCUCUGCCUCCUCUUCACUCCACUCAGAGGCCUUGCCCAGCAUGAUGCCUUCUGCCCAUUCCACACCAAGACCCAGAUGGCAAAGAGGGGGCAGACUCACCCCAAGCAGCCGAAUGGGGCUUCUCGGGAAGCCAGAGGCUGCCAAGCUGGAGAGCAGAGCCAAGAUGAGACAGGGCCACCAUGCAGAUGCCAUCGCUGAAUACUCAGGCCUGGCCCACGCUCCUUAUAUGAGCAAGCCUGGUGUUUUCCAAGCAGGGUCAGUGACCUGCAGCGGGGGUGGGAGGAGUGGAGGCAGGAAGGGCCUCCGGGAAGCUGGGCAUGGGUGGAAUGACGCGUCCCUCGAUGUGUCUGUCUGAAGAAGGCCUGGUGGGUCUUGCCAACAGUGCUGGGGCUUCGUUCCUGAGAGACCGGGGGACUCGGAAGAGGCCCCCAGGAAAGCAGAAGCUGUGUGCCAACAAAUGGACCCUGGGACUCCCUGGCGUGGAUGAUGGAGAUGGGGUGUGGAGUUGCAUUUAGGACAAAGGCAUCUCAGCAUUGUUGCCUCUUAUCCCUACCACUGGGACAGCCUCUCUCAGCCUCCUGGAUUGCAGCCCCUCCCUUCUUGAGGCAGCCAGGGCAUGAAACUAGACUGUCACCUGCAGGCUGGGACCUCCACGGCAGAGCUCCUCGCUCACUACCCUUCUAUGGCCCCCAAAGCCCCAGGGAAAGGACAGACGACGAUCCCGGAAGCCCAGCUGU